AACGAACGCUGGCGGCAUGCCUAACACAUGCAAGUCGAACGACACCUUCGUGUCUAGUUGCGCACGGGUGCGUAACGCGUGGGAACCUUCCGGUAGGUUCGGGAUUACUCAGUGAAAUUUGAGCUAAUACCGGAUGAUUUCUUCGGACCAAAGAUUUAUCGCCUUUAGAUGGGCCCGAGUUGUUUUAGCUUGUUGGUGGGGUAAAGGCCUACCAAGGCGACGAUCCAUAGCUGGUCUGAGAGGAUGAUCAGCCACACUGGGACUGAGACACGGCCCAGACUCCUACGGGAGGGAGCAGUGGGGAAUAUUGGACAAUGGGCGAAAGCCUGAUCCAGCAAUGCCGCGUGAGUGAUGAAGGCCUUAGGGUUGUAAAGCUCUUUUACCCGAGAUGAUAAUGACAGUAUCGGGAGAAUAAGCUCCGGCUAACUCCGUG
rnacentral:rRNA from 1 species